GCUGUGAAGACUCCCUACUAGGUGUCUCUAAUGAGAGGAAAUCAAAUUUUCUCUCUUCCCUUCCUUUCCUUCUAAAGAUUGAUGCAAAGUGAUCAUCUCUCUUCUCUACAGAGCCUGACAUGCGUAUGAAGUAGAGGAUAUGUAUGUUCAGACCUUGUGAGGCUUUGAAUUCAAAAAAUUCUCAAUAUUUGAUCUCUAUUCUACUAUAACUAAGAUAAAUAUAAAUAUUAUAUUAUU
rnacentral:lncRNA from 1 species